rnacentral:rRNA from 1 species
UACGGGGGGGGCAAGCGUUGUUCGGAAUUACUGGGCGUAAAGGGCUCGUAGGCGGCCAACUAAGUCAGACGUGAAAUCCCUCGGCUUAACCGGGGAACUGCGUCUGAUACUGGAUGGCUUGAGUUUGGGAGAGGGAUGCGGAAUUCCAGGUGUAGCGGUGAAAUGCGUAGAUAUCGGGAGGAACACCGGUGGCGAAGGCGGUUCUCUGGGCCUUACCUGACGCUGAGGAGCGAAAGCGUGGGGAGCGAACAGG